rnacentral:rRNA from 1 species
UACGGAGGGUGCAAGCGUUGCUCGGAAUUAUUGGGCGUAAAGGGUAGGUAGGUGGUCUUAUUUGUCUGGGGUGAAAGCCUUGAGCUUAACUCAAGAAGUGCCCCAGAAACGGUAAGACUAGAGUCCUGGAGAGGGUCGUGGAAUUCCCGGUGUAGCGGUGAAAUGCGUAGAGAUCGGGAGGAACACCAGAGGCGAAGGCGGCGACCUGGACAGGCACUGACACUCAGCUACGAAAGCGUGGGGAGCAAACAGG